UACGGAGGGUGCGAGCGUUGUCCGGAAUCACUGGGCGUAAAGGGCGCGUAGGCGGCCUGAUAAGUAGGGGGUGAAAUCCUGCGGCUUAACCGCAGGGCUGCCUUCUAAACUGUCAGGCUAGUGCACAGUAGAGGCAGGUGGAAUUCCCGGUGUAGCGGUGGAAUGCGUAGAGAUCGGGAAGAACAUCAGUGGCGAAGGCGGCCUGCUGGGCUGUUGCUGACGCUGAGGCGCGACAGCGUGGGGAGCAAACAGG
rnacentral:rRNA from 1 species